GCUCUUAAGUGAAGAGGAUGCCAAGCUCAUACACCUUCAUGGAACUCACGCUUUCCAGGAAUUUCUUGUACAAAAGGGUUAUCGGAUACCAGAGUUUUUGCAGCAGAUGCUGGAGGAACAGAAUGACGUUGAGCCAAAAGUGGGAGGUUUGAAGAACGCCAAGGAUGAACCAGAAAUGCAAAGAGCUCAGAGAAGAUUAUUCAUCAGUGGUGGGAAACAAAUACGAAGACCAAAGAAUCCAGUGAUCACGAGAACGGAAGCCGACCACAGCUCUGUCUACGAUGUUAUUUGAAUAGGAAUUCUUCCUAAGGACAUGUACCUGGAUGAAAUUUUCUGAGCAAUACCCGGUGGGGAUUCCCUACCUAAAUCCUUUGCCGCUUUUUUGAAACUGGUUGGAACAGAAGUUGCCUUCAGAAGUUGUGGGAGCUUCAUCAAUGGAAGCUUUCAAGAAGAGAUUCGACUGCCACCUGUCAGAAAUGGUGUAGGGCCAUGAUCGCGAACCUAUGGCACGCGUGCCACAGGUGG